rfam:Glossina austeni unplaced genomic scaffold Scaffold134, whole genome shotgun sequence.
ACGUCUGUAGCUCAGCAUGGUUAGAGUGCCACCUUGACAUGGUGGAGGUCAGUGGUUCAAAUCCACUCAGACGUA